CACUUCCGGGCGGCGCAGCCAUGGCUCCGGACCCCUGGCUCCCGCUCUACGAUGCCGCCUGCCAGACCGCCCAGGAGGUCGCCGAGAGGAUCCAGGAGCGGAACCGGUGCCAACGGAACGGGGAGAGCUCAGCCAAGCUCAACGUGGUUAUCAGAGCGUCGCUGCAGAACCUGCGGGAGAAGAUUGAUCAGCUGAAGGACUCGCUGCUUAGGGCUGUGUCAACACACCAAAUCACGCAGCUGGAGGGAGACAGGAGGCAGAAUUUGGUGGAUGACCUUCUCACACGACAGAAACAACUGCAGGCAUCUUAUAAGAAUGAAGGCCCAGAACCAGAUGUGAUAAGAUCCAGCCUGAUGACGGGAGGGGUCAAACGAGGUGUAACCAACCCGUGGCUCUUGGAAGAAUCUGAGGAAACCAGAGGGCUUGGCUUUGAUGAGCUCAGGCAGCAGCAGCAAAGGAUCAUAGAAGAGCAAGAUGCUGGACUUGAUGCUCUUUCUUCAAUCAUAUCCCGGCAAAAACAAAUGGGGCAGGAAAUUGGGAAUGAACUGGAUGAACAGAAUGAGAUCAUCGAUGACCUCACUAACUUGGUGGAAAACACAGACGAGAAACUCCGCAACCAGACACGGCAUGUGAAGAUGGUGGACAAGAAAUCAACGUCCUGUGACCCAAUGAAACACGUGGCCGUUUGGAGCCUUUAAUAACUGCUUGCAGAGCCUGUUCUUGAUUUCUUUGAGUACUGCCAAUGAUUUUGAUGUCAGAGUUGAGAGGAAUGCUGGUGGUGAUUGUGCUGCUGCUGAUUGCAAUUGCUGUGGUUGCUGUCUGGCCAACACACUAACGUGGCUUUGGGACCUGUUGGAGCUGCUGCUCCACAGCUGAGCACGGAGGACUCCGGGGAAGAGACUGACUCUGUGCAAAGACCUUCUUGCAUUUUAAAUAAACUCCACAGUCUUGAGAAUGAAUCUGUGUCCAACAGACAUCCCUUCUUCCUUUGGUGCACAGCUGAAGAGCAUGGUUUGGAGUGUUUGAACAUGAAAGGACCCUCUGCCCACCUUCCCAUUGCACUGGGGAGGCUUCAGCUGCCUGUUCCAUAGAUGAGCUUCUUGGUGCAUCUGCUCCCGAGCCCACCCUGGUGCCAGGGGCCUGACCAGCCCCUUCUUCUGAGCCACCAGUCCUGAGGGCUUUAAAAUACUAAAAUAAAGGUGUGCUUUGGGAGUACAGCAUUGGUGCUCCUCUGCUUUCUGAUACCUUCCCUUGAAAUGAAAAUGCUUCUGUUUCUCAAGGAAUGGAUGUUUUGGGGCAUGGCUGCAUCUGGCUGCGGGCAGAAUGGGGAGUGAGAGCACAGAGAGCCCUGCAGGGAGGAACAGGAGCCCCACGAGCCCCAAAGAAACCUAGAGGGUGAGUCAGUCAGUCCUUGGCCCUUGGGGAGUUAUCGAUGUUGAUCUCCACAGAUAGAAAUACUAACAGCAGCAGGUCCUGCCCCAGGUACAUCAGGGUGGGGAGCUUUGCCCAGCGUGUGCUCUGCCAGGCUGGCUGCAGGAGAUGUGCUGGCAUUAACCAUCUCGGCCACCAAGGUCUGUCUCUUUCUUUUAUAACUUUUCACACAGUUAAACCUGAGAGGAAGGAUUACCUACUUAAAAACUAAUAAUAAAAUUUUAAAAAGAGGUAUUGAAUGUUUGCUUCUUGCCAAGAAAACAAUUAUUUUGUUAUACUUGCCAGUAUUUCAGAAUUGAUAGAGCAAGCAAUAAAUAUUGAAUAAAAGCUGAUCCAUUUAUAUACA